rnacentral:rRNA from 1 species
GAGUUUGAUCCUGGCUCAGAACGAACGCUGGCGGCGUGCCUAACACAUGCAAGUCGAACGUGAUCCAGAGCUUGCUCUGGUGAAAGUGACSCACGGGUGAGUAACGCGUGGAUAACCUACCCUGGUAUCCGGGAUAACAUUCCGAAAGGGGUGCUAAUACCGGAUAAGCCCACGGGCUCUUUGGAGCUUGCGGGAAAAGGUGGCCUCUAUUUAUAAGCUACCGUAUCAGGAUGGGUCCGCGUACCAUUAGCUAGUUGGCGGUGUAACGGACCACCAAGGCGACGAUGGUUAGCUGGUCUGAGAGGAUGAUCAGCCACACUGGAACUGAGACACGGUCCAGACUCCUACGGGAGGCAGCAGUGGGGAAUUUUGCGCAAUGGGGGAAACCCUGACGCAGCAACGCCGCGUGAGUGAUGAAGGCCUUUGGGUCGUAAAGCUCUGUCAGAGGGGAAGAAAUGAUAUAGUGCUAAUACCACUUUAUCUUGACGGUACCCUCAAAGGAAGCACCGGCUAACUCCGUGCCAGCAGCCGCGGUAAUAC